GUGACAAAAUUGAAGGUCAAAGAUUCAGAAACUUGCCCAAUUCAUUCAUGUUGGUGGAAGAAGUUCUAUGGAUUUAUGUGAUUCAAGGCCUGAGUGUUCCAAUAUCAUAGGCUGGAUCCAGUUAUGCUUGUCUGCCCCUGGACAAGGAGUGCCAUCGUCCAGGGAAGUCAGUGACCAGGAACAGGUGACCACAACUCCCACUAUGUGCAGAGCUGAAAGAACCCCAGUGCGGUGCCUAGUGCCCAGGAGGACUCCCCAUCUGCCAUGGGUAUGGUGCUGGUUACAGAGUCCACAGGCCCAGGAGGUCUCAUUGGCUCAUAGAUCAUCCAGAAGAGCAUCUGCAGUUUCCCAACUGGAUCAGAUGAAAAGUGCUGCUUUCAGUGUGUGGUUGGGUGCACCUGAAGAUGGAAGGCGGACUGCAGAGCAGAGAGGUGAAAGGCGGAUUUUUGACGGCGGUGGGCGCCCCUUGGGCAAGCACAGGUAGCUCUUUUCUCUGAAAAAUCAGAAGAGAAGUGUACCAUUUCUCCCCUCGUGUGAGCUGCUAGCUGUCAGAAACAGAACAAAUUUGAAAGAACAGCUGAGAAAAUAUGAAGAAACCUGUUUGCUGAUCACUGUUCCUACAUGCUCAGGAGACAGAAUAAGGGAAUGAAGGCUGGCGAUGGAGGCAUUUUGCUGAAGCAAAAGCAAUGCCAUACAGGGCUUUCCCCUAACGGACAGGAGAGUUCAGAACGAUAAAUGGAACUUACCUGGAAAGUUGUUGUUGAAGACACUCAGUUCUCAUGUCUUCAGAAGUCAUAGCAGACUCUUCCGCCUGGAGCCCUUGCCCCACCCAUGCAGACAGGAGGGCCUCUUGAUUCCUCCAUGUGGUCAGUUUUCCUGCCCUACCUCGUCUACCAGACAAGCAAAGGGCUCGCAUUUGUGUUACGGCUGCGGGAUGUUUUCACCUUGUCUGUAUAUGCACCAUUAAAUAGUUCAACAUCAACUGCAGAGGAGCACACAUGAGAACACUUAAUGAGUAUAUACUACGUGCCAGCCUUGGGGUGUGGGAGAGCUGGUGGAACUCAAAGUGAAUAAACUAUAUGUUCUGAAUCUUCCCACUCCUCAUUGGAUCAAGUCAAAUGAACUAUUUCCCUGGCUAUGCAUGGGGAAUGCUAAGAUCAUCAGAGAUGUGACACGGGUAUACACGAUCAAAGAAUAAGGGGCAUCACUUUAUUGUUCCUGCUGCCUUUAAGAAACUGGCAGCUUCUACGUUGGUCGAUUGAAGCCCUGGAAUGCCCCACAAGAAAUCAAACUACCCUGCUUGAGAGACUGUGGAGAGGCCCUGAGGCUUCAUAGAGUAGGAGGAGGAUAUAUGUGAGUAAAAACAUCUUAGAUCCAACAACCCAGGAAGAACAAUAGUGGAAGACCCCACACAGCAUCACAUUGUACAGUAGAAUUGCCCAGCUGAGCUCUGCCUGAAUUCCUGACCCACAAAAUCAUGAGAUAUAAUAAUAAUAAUAAAGUGGUUGUUUUUAAAACACUAAGUUUUGGGGCACUCUGUAUGCAGCAGUCAUUAACUGGGAAACUGCUCAAAGGGCAUUCCCAUUUCUGUUGCCUCUGCGAUUUUUCAAUGUUUCAUGGAAAUCUUACUGAUAUUCCAGAUGUGAUACUGUAAUUGUCCUACUCAUGGGCUUAAUAAAGGGCCAGCAACUGAGAGAAUUAUGGCGACCCAUCAUCACUUGUUACAUCAAGUCUGUAGAUGAAGAUGAAUGUGAAAUCAGAACCACCAGGGUCCCCUGCUCCACUUCUGCAUCUGGGCUGCUGAUGGUUCUUCCCUGAAUUCAAAGUGAGGCUUCGGGGGUCCAUAGCCCACCUGCUCCACAAGUUAAACUGCCAUGAGUUUUUGUGUCAUAACUAGAUAUUUAUAUGGCUCUCCCGGGAAAGGUAAGUUUUUCUGAAACACUGAGUCAUCCAUCUACUGGAUACAGAUAAGCCAUGGAUGCAUCAGAAUGAAGAUGUUUUUUGAAGUGUUGGCAAUGUCUGAUCUCAGCAUCUGUGUUAAUGCAGGAUGGGAAAUAGAAAGCACCGAUGCUUCCUUUUAUGGACCUGGAACUCUGCUUAGCCACAGAAUGCCAGCUGUCCCCAAGGUCCAAUUGCUUACUGCUCAAGAACAGUCGAUGUACAAAAUAGAGCACACACUGGCAGAGAAGCCCUGGGCAACCGUGCAGGUUCAAGAACAGUCGGGACUAAUGCCUCUCAGAUGAAAAUGCUUCCCUUUGUUAUAAUUUCUAAGCAUUUUCUCAUAGAAUCAAAAUUUUGUUUUGUUUUAAGAAGAUUCUUUUUUUUUUUAAG